rnacentral:rRNA from 1 species
GACGAACGCUGGCGGCGUGCUUAACACAUGCAAGUCGAACGGUGAACCAGGGCUUGCCCUGGGGAUCAGUGGCGAACGGGUGAGUAACACGUGGGCAACCUGCCCCUGACUCCGGGAUAACCCCUCGAAAGAGGUGCUAAUACCGGAUACGACCACUUCGGGCAUCCGAUGGUGGUGGAAAGAAUUUUGGUCAGGGAUGGGCCCGCGGCCUAUCAGCUUGUUGGUGGGGUAACGGCCCACCAAGGCGACGACGGGUAGCCGGCCUGAGAGGGCGACCGGCCACACUGGGACUGAGACACGGCCCAGACUCCUAUGGGAGGCAGCAGUGGGGAAUAUUGCGCAAUGGGCGAAAGCCUGACGCAGCGACGCCGCGUGAGGGACGACGGCCUUCGGGUUGUAAACCUCUUUCAGCAGGGACGAAGCGCAAGUGACGGUACCUGCAGAAGAAGCACCGGCUAACUACGUGCCAGCAGCCGCGGUAACAC